rnacentral:rRNA from 1 species
UACGUAGGGUGCAAGCGUUAAUCGGAAUUACUGGGCGUAAAGCGUGCGCAGGCGGUGAUGUAAGACAGGUGUGAAAUCCCCGGGCUUAACCUGGGAAUUGCGUUUGGAGACUGCAAGGCUGGAGUCUGGCAGAGGGGGGUAGAAUUCCACGUGUAGCAGUGAAAUGCGUAGAGAUGUGGAGGAACACCGAUGGCGAAGGCAGCCUCCUGGGCUAGUACUGACGCUCAUGGCACGAAAAGCGUGGGGAGCAAACAGG